rnacentral:piRNA from 1 species
UGAGGUCUGCAACUUGUUCCA